rnacentral:rRNA from 1 species
UACGUAGGGUCCGAGCGUUGUCCGGAAUUAUUGGGCGUAAAGGGCUCGUAGGCGGUUCGUCACGUCGGGAGUGAAAACUCGGGGCUUAACCCCGAGCCUGCUUCCGAUACGGGCAGACUAGAGGUAGGCAGGGGAGAGCGGAACUCCUGGUGUAGCGGUGAAAUGCGCAGAUAUCAGGAGGAACACCGGUGGCGAAGGCGGCUCCUGCGGCUACUGAUGCGUGAGACGACGAACGUGGGGAGCAACAGG